UUCCGGUUGAUCCUGCCGGAGGCUACCGCUAUUGGAGUUCGAUUAAGCCAUGCGAGUCCAGAGCUUUCGGAGCUCGGCGUACCGCUCAGUAACACGUGGGUAACCUGCCCUAUGCUGGAUAAUAACCUCGGGAAACUGAGAAUAAUGAUCCAUAGUUCACUACGCCUGGAACGGUGAGUGGAUGAAAGCUCCGGCGGCAUAGGAUGGGCCUGCGGCGUAUCAGGUUGUAGGGGGUGUAACGUACCCUCUAGCCCUCUACGCGUACGGGUGUUGGGAGACAUAGCCCGGAGAUGGAUUCUGAGACACGAAUCCAGACCCUACGGGGUGCAGCAGGCGCGAAAACUUGGCAAUGCGAGAAAUCGUGACCAGGGAACUCCAAGUGCAUCGGGUAAGACCGGUGCUUUUCUUGACUCUAAAUAGGUCUUGGAAUAAGGGGUGGGUAAGGACGGUGCCAGCCGCCGCGGUAAUACCGGCGCCUCAAGUGGUAGUCGCUUUUAUUGGGCCUAAAACGUCCGUAGCCGGUCUGAUACAUUCGUGGGUAAAUCAACCAGCUUAACUGGUUGAAUUCUGCGAGGACGGUCAGACUUGGGACCGGGAGAGGUGUGGGGUACGCUCAGGGUAGGGGUAAAAUCCUGUCAUCCUGAGAGGACCACCUGUUGCGAAGGCGCCACACUAGAACGGAUCCGACGGUCAGGGACGAAGCCUAGGGGCACGAACCGGAUUAGAUACCCGGGUAGUCCUAGGUGUAAACGCUGUGGACUUGAUGUUGGGGGUGCUCCGAGCACUCUCAGUGUCGAAGCGAAGGUGAUAAGUCCACUGCCUGGGAAGUACGGUCGCAAGGCUGAAACUUAAAGGAAUUGGCGGGGGAGCACCGCAACCUGAGGAUUGUGCGGUUUAAUUGGAGUCAACGCCGG
rnacentral:rRNA from 1 species